AUUUAAACGCUGGAGUGGAGGGAGUUGUCAUGGAAACGAGCCGACAACACCAACUGAUACACUGUAAAUCUCCAUCUCUAGCUGCUGUUUUCACUGCUUUCAUGAGUGAUAAUAUAAUCUCUCUACAUCAGAAGAGAAGCUCUAAAAUUUCUAAGUUUCUGAAAGGAGCUGCUGACAGAAAUGCAGGAAACACGGGAUCCUGUGUACCCAGCCUCAACCAUUCAUCAAAAGGACUGUGAAGGCAGGAAUUCUUUGAACCACCAGUGGCAGUUUCCACGGGAUGAAAACGGGCAUACUAGUGGAUGAUGGGGGUACUGAUAUUAACUUGUUGUAUUCACUGUAUUACACAUUUUUGUCAGUUUUUCAUUUCAAGUACUGGUGGUUUUGAUUUUGUCUGGAUGACAUGCUGUCCUAAUACUAACUAGUCAGAUCUCAAGUACCACCUAAAAUGCUGCCAAAACCAAACAGAAAAAUAGAAAUAUAUAAAGUCAGGUUAUCAUCAAGUACUCAGACUUGACAGUGAUGACUGAUCAUGAAACUAAUGAUUGCAGUGAUUUAAAAGAAUUAUCAAUCAUUGCAGUCAAGUCUGAGUACUCUAGUACUUGUGCACAUCCCUAUUAAAAACAAAUACACGGCAGUGAGGUAUGAUGUAAUGUAUACUGCAUUGAUGUAUACUGUAAAUGCAAUAAAUAUUUUAAUCAUA
ensembl:lncRNA